GUUUGAUCGUGGCAAUCGGUGAUGGCUAUUUAUGCUUCCACGAUCGCUGCAUGUAAAGUGCUUUAAUUAUUUAAUGACGUACCUAUGACACCGCUGCCAAUAAUAGAAUUAAUGAAAUUAAAACUGGCCAAUGGUAGGCUAGUGAAUUUCUCCGCAUCUUCAUCGUCAGCCUAUAAAAUAUGAAAAGAGAAAAAUAAUUACAAACAAUGAGAAAUAUCAGCGUGAGAAUAACGACGGCUGUAGAAUGAGUAUAUACGAAGAAAAAUGUUAAUUGGCACGACAUAACAGAGCAGCGAUUGCAUAGUAUAUACACAUGCAUGCAGAUGCAAAUUAUGGAGGCCCUUGUAUUCUGCGGCUCUGCAUUAUUAUAGGUUGCAGUAUUUAAUUAUUUACUUUAUAAAUUUCCGAAUAUAUGAUUUAUAAAGCGAUGAUAAUUAUUUAUUGAAAUUUCAAUAUAAUAACGAACAUCCUUAUAUGUAUACAAGUAGUGUGAUAUGUCCAGAGUAAGAUCAAAUGUAUUGUAGAUUUUUCCCCCGUUAUCUUGGACACGAUAUCUUUUUACUAUUGCAGAUGAUCAAUAGGCGCUGACGAAGAAAAACAAAAAAAAUUUAGAGCAGAUGGGAAAAGUUUGAGGCAUUAUUUCAUACACAUAUGGUAUGGUAUACUAUAUGUCUAUACGGAGCAUAUAAUCAAAAGUACAACAAACGCUGUAAUCUAAAUAAAUUAGAUAAA